AGUCACAUUAAAUAAUAAUUAAUAUUAUCAAAUUAAUGUAAUCUAAUCUGGUUUUAACAUGGAAGACAUUCCUUCUUCUAAAACCAAUUCUACUAGAGAACAUUGUGCCAAGACAUAUCAGAAUAAAUACUUUACAGCUUGGACUUCAGGAAUAAAGCUUUAAAAGUAUCGUGGAUGUAUUCGAGUAUUUAUAUAUUUAUACUAAUUAGAAAUCUUAAUAGUACGAUUGAAAUGUAGCCAUAUAUUUAUAAAGCAUAGUGUUGCAAUUAUAAAAAGAGUAAACGAGAUAUUUGUAUCUGCCUUAUUUGUACGUGGUUUUGUGAGGAAAUUGUUUUAUUAAUUUGACAGAUAAAAAAACGCCGAAAAAAAAUGAAAAGAAAUUUACGAAGUAAUUAUAAUGAACCAGUAAUUGAACUGUCAGAUUCCGAUGAUAAUGAUUAUAAAAUAUUUAAAAAAUCUGAAGAUGAGGACUAUGUAAUGGAACAAAAUAAAAGAAAAAAGGAAAUUAAAAAAGGAAUUAUAGGUAAGAAACAGCCAACUAAGAAAGAAGUGAAGAAAAAUACACAGAGCAAAGAUGUUAAAUCUAUUAAAAGAAAAAAUCAAGAAGGAAACUUGGAGACUUCUAGCAACAAGAGACCGAAGCUAGAAGACUCGUACAUUGAGUCUACUGAUGCAGGAGUGUCUCAAAAAAUUCAGAAAAAUUCAGCCAGAAUUUAUGUAAAGGAAGAUGUGAAACUCAAUGAAAAAUUUAACUUCAGCUUAUCGCAAUGCACGGAAUGGACCGAUAUUGAUUAUAUAAGCGAAGUCAACAAUGUAACUAGAUAUAUUGCAGAGAAUGUAGUGAAGCUUUUCAAGGAAGACAACACUAUACCUUUUAUUGCAAGAUAUAGAAAGAACAUGACUGGAUCUAUGGAUGCAGAUAAAUUGAGGGAACUUCUAGAGAGUUUUGAGCAGGCGAAGAUUAUUAAACAACGUGCUGCAACCAUUAUUAAGAACAUUGAUAAAUUGGGCAAAUGGUCGCCGGAGCUUCACUCUGUUAUCACAUCUACAAAGUCUCUUGCCGAUCUCGAAGAUAUUUAUUCUUUAUAUAAACCUUCGACAUCGAGACGACUUCUGGCAGAUAAAGCGCGAGGAUUGGGCCUGGGAAGUAUCAGCGAUGCAGUUUUACAGGGACAGGAUAUACCACCAUUGACAUCUUUAAUAGAUGAACAAAAGGAAGGUUUGCGAAAUGAACAAGAAAUCAGAAGCGGUAUCGUGUAUAUAAUAGCGGAUGCCAUCAGUAAAGAUAAGAACAUUUUCGACAAAGUCAACUCUCUACGGAAAACCUCGGUUAUAGAUAUACAAACGACGCAGUGUAAAACAACAGAAGAUUCGAAAAACGCAAACGAGCAGAAGUAUGAACAAUACUUCAAUUUUAAGUCAAGGGUGAAUGCCAUUAAGCCUCAUCAUAUACUGGCUAUUAAUCGGGCUGAAUCUCAAAAGAUCAUCAGCGUGAAGAUUGUCGUCCCCGACGCUUUCGAGGAUGCGUUCCGCAACUAUUGCUUAUGGCAAUAUACACAAGAGAGAAGAAGUAGCGCGAAAAUGUCCCAUUUGACUUUACUCAAUGAUAGCAUCGAUUACGCUUAUAAAAAAUCAAUCAAGCCUCAGAUGGUACGUCGUAUAAGGAGCGAGUUGAAGGAAAACGCGGAAAAAGCGUCCAUAGAAGUUUUCACGACUAAUGUUAAACAACUGCUUCUCACUCCUCCAGUGCGAGGUAAAAUUGUUCUCGGUAUAGACCCGGGUUACCGUCACGGAUGUAAACUUGCCGUUGUAUCGGAACAGGGCGAUCUCCUCGAGACCGCUGUGAUAUAUCCUCACAACCAUUCGUCGGCAUUUAAAGAUGCGGCUAACACGUUGGCGAAAUUAGUGAACAAGUACAGAUGCACGAUAAUAGCUCUGGGAAAUGCUACAGCGUGCAGAGAGACCGAGCUGUUUCUGACUAAAGCAAUAGAGUCGAACGUGUUUGGCUCGCUAAACGCGAUGUUCACCAUCGUUGACGAAUGCGGAGCCUCGAUUUAUAGUUGUAGCCCGCAGGCGAAAUCCGAGUUUCCGGAUCUGGAUCCGAAUCUAGUGUCGGCUAUUUCGAUAGCAAGACGCUUGCAGGACCCAUUGGCGGAAUUAGUUAAGAUAGAGCCGAAGCAUUUAGGAGUUGGGAUGUAUCAACAUGAUCUACCUCAAACGAAACUGACGAAGUCGCUAUCCGAAGUUGUCACAGAGGUUGUGAGUUUUGUAGGAGUGGAUAUUAAUACAGCUUCUCAUUAUCUUUUACAACAAGUAGCCGGCCUUACGGUUUCUAGAUCUAAAAGCAUCAUAGAAUGGCGAUCAAAAAAUGGACCAUUUAGAAAUAGAGAGCAAUUAUUGAAAGUAAAGAGUAUUGGUAGCAAAACGUUUGAACAGUGCGCAGGGUUUAUAAGAAUUCUGCCAGAGACAGCAAAGAUUAGCGAAACUUCAUCACAACAGAGCAAGAAAUCGGAGAACGAUUUUAAUCCUUUAGAUCAAACUUGGAUCCAUCCGGAAUCGUACGCGAUAGCGAAUAAAUUCGUAAAACACUGCCAAUGCAAAUUGGACGAUAUCGGUACUCCGGCAUUUAUUGGAAAGAUAAAUUUUCACGCGAGAACUGGAUGUGGAAAUCUAGCCGCGCAGUUUGGCACCGAUGAGACUACAAUGGAGACGAUAGUUAAAGCUUUGACCAUGCAGAAAGACGAGGAUAUACGAUCGAAAUUGAAUCAGCCGCUGUUUCGUAACAGUGUGCGAUGUAUUGAAGAUUUGAUCGUCGGAACCAUAUUAAGCGGCGUCGUGCGGAACGUCACGCAUUUUGGAGCAUUUGUAGACGUGGGCGUUGGUAAGGAGGGUCUUAUACACGUCAGCCGUAUGAAGAAGGAUCUCCAUAUAGGCCAACGUGUGGAAGUGAAGGAUUCUUCCACCGGAGCAUCAUAUUCGAUGGGUUUGGCGCUUGGAAUAUUCUCCGGAGAUCCCUUUCAUUGCUGGGAGAACGAGGAGAUCAGAUGCAUCAUAAAGUAGAGCGUUCCGACUAAACAAUUGUACUCUGCAUUUGUCGCGCAUAAAUCCAAGAGCACAAGAAGCGUCAUUACACGUAAGUGUUACGAUGGGAUAAAACGAUGUAGACGCAGGAGGUGG
rnacentral:misc_RNA from 1 species